rnacentral:rRNA from 1 species
UUUGAAAUCUGGUACCUUCGGUGCCCGAGUUGUAAUUUGUAGAGGGCGACUUUGGGGCGGCUCCUUGUCUAUGUUCCUUGGAACAGGACGUCAUAGAGGGUGAGAAUCCCGUGUGGCGAGGAGUGCGGUUCCGUGUAAAGCGCUCUCGAAGAGUCGAGUUGUUUGGGAAUGCAGCUCUAAGUGGGUGGUAAAUUCCAUCUAAAGCUAAAUAUUGGCGAGAGACCGAUAGCGAACAAGUACAGUGAUGGAAAGAUGAAAAGAACUUUGAAAAGAGAGUGAAAAAGUACGUGAAAUUGUUGAAAGGGAAGGGCAUUUGAUCAGACAUGGUGUUUUGCGCCCCCCGCUCCUCGUGGGUGGGGGACUCUCGCAGCUCACUGGGCCAGCAUCAGUUUUGGCGGCCGGACAAAACUGCAGGAACGUAGCUUGCUUCGGGAAGUGUUACAGCCUGCAGGAAUACGGCCAGCCGGGACUGAGGAAUGCGAUUCUUCAAGGAUGCUGGCAUAAU